CCCAGCAAUAAAUUGCUGGGCUAUUUUCAGAUGUCCCUCCGGGGCA
rfam:Planctomycetaceae bacterium SCGC AG-212-F19 AG-212-F19.19, whole genome shotgun sequence.